CCGAAGUGUAGAACGAAGCCAAUGAGCUAGUCUUGUGCCGGCUGGCGACGCCGCCCGUGCUGUAAAGGCAUUGGAAAGGCUGAACUUCCGAGCGCAAGCCAUCUUGGCGGAAGUUACCGCCAGGAAACAGAUGACAUAUAUAUGUGUCUGAGGGUGAAAGGUUUCAAUCAUAUUACGAUUUACGCUGGCGAGUAUAAUGCCGUUAGCUCAGCUUGCGGCGGACCCUUGGGUCGAGAUCAAAACGGACUGCGGGGGUCCGCCAGGUGAAGACAUGGCUGUUGACGAAAAUGAUGAAACCCAAGAUAUGGAAACGAAUGACAUGGCAGAAGGGACGCACGAAAUUGAGCUGACAAAUGUUACAAAAGAAGGCCACCCAAAGGGCGAUCCCAGUCAGUUCAAGCUCCUCAAGGUUCUCGGACAGGGCUCAUUCGGAAAGGUGUUUCUAGUGAAGAAGAUUAUGGGCCCUGAUGCAGGCACGUUAUAUGCCAUGAAAGUGUUAAAGAAAGCAACAUUAAAAGUAAGAGACAGGUUAAGAACAAAAAUGGAGAGAGACAUCCUCGCUGAAGUGCGGCAUCCAUUUGUGGUGAAGCUGCAUUAUGCCUUCCAGACUGAAGGAAAACUGUACCUAAUUCUGGAUUUUCUGAAGGGUGGAGAUCUUUUCACAAGGCUUAGCAAAGAGGUUAUGUUCACUGAGGAAGAUGUGAAGUUCUACCUGGCUGAACUUGCUCUCGCUCUUGACCACCUGCAUGGCCUCGGCAUCAUCUACAGAGAUCUCAAGCCAGAGAACAUUCUUUUGGACUCUGAUGGCCACAUAAGCCUAACAGACUUUGGUCUGAGCAAAGAAGCGCUCAACGACCAGAAGGCAUACUCUUUUUGUGGCACCAUUGAAUACAUGGCACCAGAGGUCAUCAACCGCAAAGGACACACAAUGGCUGCCGACUGGUGGUCUUUUGGAGUACUCAUGUUUGAAAUGCUGACAGGCGGCCUGCCUUUUCAAGGAACCAAUAGGAAGGAGACAAUGCUACAGAUACUCAAGGCCAAGUUGAGCAUGCCGCAGUUCCUCAGUCCUGAAGCACAGAGCCUUCUUAGGGCAUUGUUCAAGAGAAACCCAGCAAAUAGAUUAGGGUCUGGUCCAAAUGCAAUCGGCGACAUCAAGGCACACCCGUUUUUUGCCACCAUCGACUGGGGGCACCUGUACAGGAGGGAAGUGGUGCCUCCUUUCAUACCAGCUGUGUCAAGACCAGAUAACACGCUGUAUUUCGACAGGGAAUUCACAUCGAAGACGCCUGAAGACUCUCCUGGAGUGCCUCCAAGUGCCAACGCCCAUGAAUUGUUUAGAGGAUUCAGUUUUGUGGCACCUAGUCUGACCGAGGAAGAUUAUGUCAAAAGCAAGGACAAUCAGUCCUCCAAAUGGUAUGGCCUUGCCUUCAAGGAAGCUAUUACAAAAGAGUAUGAGCUCAAGGAGGACCUUGGCUUAGGUUCCUAUUCGACUUGCAAGAGGGCUGUGCAUAGGGCAACUGGCAAGGAAUAUGCCGUCAAGAUCAUUGACAAGUUCAAGAGAGAUUGUCAAGAGGAAGUAGAAAUACUGCUGCGGUAUGGUCAGCACCCUAACAUACUCACGGUGUAUGAUGUUUACCAGGAUGCCACCUCUGUGUACAUAAUCAUGGAGCUACUCAAGGGUGGGGAGCUCCUGGAUAGGAUCCUAAACCAGAAGCACUUCAGUGAGAGAGAAGCCAGCGCUGUACUGGAAGUUAUUGCAAAGACAAUGAAGUUUCUGCAUGACAACGGGGUGGUUCACCGUGACCUGAAGCCAUCGAACAUCAUGUAUGCAGAUGAAAGUGGUAGUCCGGAGAGCCUGCGCAUUUGCGACUUUGGCUUUGCAAAGCAGAUGCGUGCCGAGAAUGGACUCCUUAUGACUCCUUGCUACACGGCCAACUUUGUGGCUCCCGAAGUGCUUAAGAAGCAGGGCUAUGACGAGGCCUGUGACAUCUGGAGCAUGGGUGUACUGUUGUACACCAUGCUGGCGGGGCACACACCCUUUGCUAAUGGACCGAACGACACACCAAACCACAUAUUGGCCCGGAUUGGAGAAGGGAGGUUUGACCUAAUGUCGGGAAACUGGGCCAAUAUCUCGAGUCCGGCAAAGCAUCUAGUCCAGAAAAUGCUGCAUGUGGACCCAAAGCAAAGAUACAGGGCAGCUGAUGUGUUGGGACAUGCCUGGAUUGUGAACAAGAACAAUCUUCCAGUCAGCAGGCUUUCCCAUCAGGAGCCUCAUCUGGUGAAGGGUGCCAUGGCAGCCACAUUCAGAGCCAUCAACAACUACCCCAAGCCCCCAAACCUGGAGCCCGUUGCAGCGUCUGAACUGGCUAGGAGACGAGCCAACAAGGCACGGCACCAUUCGUCCACAGAGGUCUGACGGGCCCCUGCUUCUUCCAGAGAAGGGAAAACACACACACAAAAAAAGACAUCGACUCUGUUGCCUUUUGCACACAUUCAGUGACAGCUUCCUUGGACUCGUCGGUACGGAGUUCAGCGCGCAUUCGUCGGCCAUCUCGAACCCAUUACGUUCUUGCGUGUGUACUUGCUUCGUUGUUAUCAUUGUCACCGAGUAGCUGUUCAAGCACUUGCAUUUGCGCGCGUUUUUGUUUGAAAGAGACAGGCCUUUGCAAGGGUUUGCAUGGAACAGCGUAGGGUUAGGAAAUGCAGCAUGUUGUUUGAAACAAGCAGGCAAAAGAAACCGCCUGGACUUUGAAGAGCUCGGAAAGUGCCUCUGUGCGCAAGUUUGCCUAAUGGCAUGCAGAAGUGGAUUGCUGUAUUAAGUCUCUUGUUUUUGACCUGAGGAACUAAUAAGUUGCCAGAGAAUAACUCGUUUAGUUCCACCUUGGUACCCUAUAGCGUAUAAUUAUAUAUAUAUAUAUGUAUAUCUAUGUCGUACAUGUUAAUCGUGUUUUUUUUUUUUUUUUUUUGUCACUGAAGUACCUAAGGUUAUGUGCCAUCGGAUUUUUUAUAGGUGAAUAUUGAUUUUUUUUUCUAUUAAUUUUGGAUCAUUUUAUUCCUUCAGGAACAUUGCCUUGUUCUUCUGCGUGGAUAUUCUUUGUAUGGUUUCUGAACAGGAGCCUGCAAGAGCUGUGUUACAUGUGUAGCAGCUCAGCAUAACUUGUCGUAAAUAUGAUCCACAGUAGUCUAUUGUCUUGUGAAGCUUGUGUUCUUGAGCAAUUUGCCAAGUCCAGAAAGGCUGGCAGUUGUGUUGGCGGGUGAGAAGAAUGCAACUGGCACUGCAUCUCUUUGCUUGCAUCAGCAUGGGCUGCCUUUUUGUGGAUGGCUGUCGGUAGAGAUUGCAGUAUCCAUUUGGUAGCCAUGUGCAGCACCUUUUGUGUUCUACAGUUUGCUAGGAAGAGAAGGUGUAGUGAAAGGUCUUUUUAGUGUGUACAGACGUUCUUAAAACCACUUAAUUGUUUAUAGCUGCUGCAUUUUUCUGCUUUCAUAGUAGUUUUAGCGUACUGUCAAAUGGUGUUGCCAGGUGUUCAGCAGGUGCAGUUUUUCAUCUAUGAACUUUCUCUUCCUAAUUUGUUUGCUGAGCCUACCAUUCCUUUCAUGUGUACUUGCGUCGUGGAUGUUGUGCAAAGAAUGAACAGCUUGGCACCAAGUGCACCUAGUACUGUGUGUUGUGGAAUGGAAAAGCCUGAAGUGGCAGAGAUGAGACUUAGUGUAAGCACCUCAACACCUUUACCUUUUUGCUCUCUUUAAACAUAUCUAUUUCUCAAACCAGGGGCAACAGCUUUCAUUUAGGCUGUUCGAACUGCACAGAUGUGCUGGCUUAAUUCUUCUGGCAAAACAAAAAGCUUUGCUGUGCCUUUUUAAUUGACAUAGAAGAGAUGCGAGUGAUGUCUGUUCACAUGCCUAUAGCAUAUACAUGCAACUGUUUUUGAGCUUGAUGGGAAGCGUUGAAGCAGGAUGCUCGUGGUACGAUUCCUUGUACCAGCAGCCAUACUUGCAAUCACAUCCAGCAGGUUUCUAACAGGUUCAUGUUGCAACAGUCAAAACAGCUAGUAUUUUUCACACGUUGCAUGCUGUAUUGGACACCGUAUCAUACCAUGUGUUUUCUGCUUUGUCUUCCCAUCAAUCAAUUCAUUGCAUUGUAUGUCUCAUUUCAGUGUACAUCGAAAAGCACAGUGAAGACUUUUUUUAUUAUUAUUUGGGUUGUCUUGGCUCUAUAUGCAACAUUAUGCAUGUGCAGUCUUUUUUGUUUUUUUGAACUGCACUUAGUGCAUGCAAUUUUGUGUCGUCUAUAGUUCCAAAAGAAAUUGAUGGUGCAGUCAUUGUCUGCACUGUAGACACGGAAAGCAUUAACACUUUGCUGUUGUACUAUGUUUUGAAGACUAUGUGUUCAACACCAGAAGCCAAAGCUCGCAAUCGAACAUGACGUUGCUUUCAGUGGGGUGUGCACUAAAAGAUUUCUGAUGUUUUGAAUGAAACAACAGUGAUGACUGCACUUCUGACUUGGUGAGGCUACCUAUGUUUUUCACAGGUAGAUGAAUGGUAGAUGAAUGGUAGGCACUUCAGUCAUUGCAUGCAACGAGACUGUUAUUGAGUACGAAAAGCUGUUGCAUUCGUCCCCCUCUCUGCUGCACAUUAGUUGGGGGUACAGGAAGCAACUUUAGACCUAUCACUCCCACUGCAAAUGGCUUGCUGUUUGCAGUUUAGGUACAUCAUGGUUGUAAAUGUCUGCACUCAAGUGCUUGUAUUCAAUUGUGACGGCUGCCUCAAGUUCUACUAACAUCAGCCAUGUGGCCUCAGUGCCUGCAGAAGUAGCGGAAUUUCUAGCUUGUGAGACAAGUUGCAUGUUUUGUUUUCUCAGCACCAAUCAAAUCUAAAGAUACUUUGCUUUUCUGCCCAGAAGAGGAGCUAGGGAUACCCACAGUGGUUGUCAUGUCUGGAUACCCGAUUAGUUUGCACUGUUGCUCCUCACAAUUCAGUGUGCUCUCUCAAAUUUCUGAAAUUAAAAAAAGUUGGUCCUCUCAAACGUGUUAUGUUCAUAGAGGCAUAUAUAGAAAUAGUGACAUUGUAACAAGUUUUCAUAUUUUAUGCUUUCAAUAUGAACUCGUGGUGGUUUUAACUGUAGCCUUGAGUGAAAAUACAGCUGCAAGUAGAAUAGUAUUAUGCCAAGAAGUAGCAGCUGAGAUGUGAACAAGGCAGCAAACAGGGAAAAAGUGCCAACAAUUUGUAUUUCAGUUAAAGAAACCUUGCAGUUCACGGUGGUAGCACCAUUUACUUGUGAAAAUGGGAAAACAGUGUAGGGAAGAGUUUUACAUAGUUAUUUCAAUGCAUCAAGAUGACACAGUUCACAAUAUUUCUGCUUCUUCUGCAGUGCUUCAGGUCAUGCACCUUGUUGAACUGGAAGCAUGAAAUGUGGCACUAAGCACUUGCUACAGUCUCAUUCCAGUGUUAAUGGCCGUCCAGGUUGACAACGCUUGGAUGUCGGAUGCCACUCCAUAUUUCGACCACUGUCUUGUUUGUUGAUACUUGUGAACAUGUUAUAAAAAAAAAUCUGUGUUGUGGCUUGUGUGUAGUUUUCUCGAAUGCUUCCCUGAACCACUUUCAAGCUUUUUCAAUCGCAUAAAGUCUUUAGGAACAGUAUGGAUGCUGUACUGAAUGGCAAUUUUAUGGCAUGCCAGGGAACUUCCUCGAGAACAAACUCAACGAGAAGUAUACGUCUCGACAAAUUGUUUAGGCUCGCCCUUCCUUUUACAAAUUCUCUAAGGUAUGCCCACACUAGGAUGCAGAAGUGCAUUUGUAUCUAUGAUGUAAAGUAGAAUUCCUUUGAUGGACACGAUACUUAAGCCUUCUAACCUUUUGAAUGCUUCCUUGCUGGCAUGUCGUCGUAGUUGGUUAGACCUGUACUGAUGUGAUUUUUCCUCUGAAGCAUUUGUUUGAUGACAUUGCUAAACAAUAAACACUUUGAUACAUUGUUGA